AUUGACCGCUGGCGGCAGGCCUAACACAUGCAAGUCGCGCGAGCGGCGGACGGGUGAGUAAUGUAUGGGGAUCUGCCCGAUAGAGGGGGAUAACUACUGGAAACGGUGGCUAAUACCGCGUACCAUAGGAUGAGCCCAAGUGGGAUUAGGUAGUUGGUGAGGGAAAGGCUAACCAAGCCGACGAUCUCUAGCUGGUCUGAGAGGAUGACCAGCCACACUGGGACGGAGACACGGCCCAGACUCCUACGGGAGGCAGCAGUGGGGAAUAUUGCGCAAUGGGGGCAACCUGACGCAGCCAUGCCGCGGGAAUGAAGAAGGCCUUCGGGUUGUAAAGUUCUUUCGGUAGCGAGGCGUUAACUACAGAAGAAGCACCGGCUAACUCCGUGCCAGCAGCCGCGGUAAUUC
rnacentral:rRNA from 1 species